CUCUCUCGGUCAGUACUCCCCUGUUCUCACUUCUCCAACCUUUCCUUCUUCCAUUUUUUUUAAUUUUUUCAAAUCACCAAAUUUCAAUUAGAAACCAAACAACCUUGAAGAUACUUGCUCCUUCCAAAGUAAAGCUUUAACAAAUGUGAUUGGGUAUAAUUUUGGGGCUAGGGUUAAUGAUCUAAGGGUGGAGAUGAGUACCCGUUCCUUAAAAAUUGCUUAUUGAGACUCUUUCAGAUUCAACCGUUGCUGCUUCAUCUGCUUCUCCCGGAGUCGUUGGAGAGCAACAUUAGCCGGUCUUCAUAGUUAUUCCCAGUCAGCUGAGUAGCAAGUUUUUAGCACAUUCAAAGCUUCAUC